rnacentral:rRNA from 1 species
GAUGAACGCUGGCGGCGUGCCUAAUACAUGCAAGUCGAGCGCAGCGGGGACGGGUGAGUAACACGUGGAUAACCUCCUAUAAGGAUGGGGUAACCUCGGGAAAACGGAGCUUAACCGGCUACUUAUCGAUGGUUCCGCGCGGCAUUAGCUAGUUGGUAAGGUAACGGCUUACCAAGGCAACGAUCCAUAGCCGACCUGAGAGGGUGAUCAGCCACACUGGAACUGAGACACGGUCCAGACUCCUACGGGAGGCAGCAGUAGGGAAUCUUCCGCAAUGGGCGAAAGCCUGACGGAGCAAUGCCGCGUGUGUGAAGAAGGCCUUCGGAUCGUAAAGCUCUUUUAGUAGGGAAGCGUUACCUAAUCAGGAAGCCACGGCUAACUACGUGCCAGCAGCCGCGGUAAUAC